GUGAAACCAUUCAUAAUGUGGUUAGACUUGGUCAGAAGAUUAGGUGUAUAUUUAUAUACCUAAUCUUUUGACCAAGUCUAACCACAUUACGUGCUUUAAACUGCUAUUGUAAAACAAACUUUUUGCAAAACUCUAAAAACACAGCUAUCUACAUUAUACACAUCAUUCAAAAGUAGCAGCUCUUUUGUUCCAUUUGGAAAAACACUGCCAUUUAAAUGCCACACUCAUUUAAUGAUGACCUUCAGCCAGUGAUCAUGUGUAAAAACAGACAUAAUUUGUUCACUAAGAAAUCAAAACGAAAGAUUUUUACCCCCUUGCAUUUCUGUUUACAUUGUAUAUAUAUAUGUAUGUAUAUCUAUAUAUAUAUAUGUAUAUCUAUAUACUGUGUGUGUGUGUGCGCGCGCGCGGUUUGCCAUCAUUCUUCUCUUCUUUCUUUAUUAGUUCAGUCUCUACAGCACGUCUGCAUGAUCUUGAGCAGUUUAAGCUCCUUCACAGCUCUGUUAUGGCGAAUGUUCAAACCAGGAUUCUUCAUCUGGAUCUCUCUAUCAUCAUUAUUUUCCUGAUUCAUGCAGAUUAUUCAAAAUCUAAUCAAGAGCAAAGGAUUCAGCAGCACAUCAACAAAACAGUGUUUGUGGGGGAAACAGUUACACUUCACUGCAACAAAACCCAACUUGAUGAUGAUUUCACAUGGAAAAUGAACAACUCUGUUAUUUUUAGGCAGGUCUCUUAUUUUAACAUAACUAAGACAAACUUCAGCUCAAACAGGAUUCACAUCGACCCCGCAGCUCCAAGAGAAUUAACAAUACAUCAAAUACAAGCGUCUGAUGCAGGAAACUACAGCUGUUACCCAGCAGCAAUAAGAUGGACAUUAACAAUAACAGAAAACACAACCAGACCAGAAUCACUCAAACAAAUGCCGCUGUACAUCAUCUACUCAUGUUCUGGAGUCAUUAUGAUCUGUCUGAUCAUAACCAUAUGCAUUCACAGUAAACUGAAGCAGAUGAAGACAAACUCUGAUCUCUGUGAAACAGACCAGGAGGCAGAAAGUUUAUUUACCACAGAACAGGUGAAGAUGAUCUCUGACUGUGACAAACACACAGUAACAGCCUGUGUAAGUCAGUUGAACUCGACACACACCUCCAUCAUGUUUACCACAUCAUGUCUGUCCCUGGCCCCCAGCAAACAUCACUGACUCACUUCUUGAUGGAAACAUGUUGUGCAAUCAAACUACUGCUCUGUAAAAAUCACUUUUGUUCCAUCCAUUUGUGUCAUUUUAACAGCUAUAAAUAUACAUGAUAUUUAUAAACAGCACAGCAGAUAUUUGAACAAGAGAUGAAAUGUAUGUGUUUGUGUUCCACUUGUUUUAUCUUUGUUUUCUUCAGGUCUACAGUCUUCAUACAGUUUCAUGAACAUCUUUUCUUCUCAAGACAGCAGUGUGUGUCUGACACUCAACAGAUCAUCAUUACAAUACAGGAAGAUGUUUGAGAACGAGACCAUUACAAUAAUAAAUACAGUCUCAGAGGAUCUGUAUGUGAAUGU
ensembl:lncRNA